AAAAAAAGCAAAAUGGGGAAUUGGGCUAAAAAGAAACUUAUGGAAUUUUUGUGACCUGUCAAAAAAUGACAAUCAAUUUUGCAAAACAAAACAAUGGGUUUCGGAUUUUAAGAACCAAAAUUCUUUAUAAUGAAGGGGGUAUAUACAAGUUCACUUCAUUGAUUAAAAAUCUGUCUUUUCAUUUUAGAUAGUGACAUAAUGCAGGAAGCAAUUUCCCUUAAGUAAUCUGGAACGCAAACCAAACAAGGCGCUGAUUUGCAGAUACUGCCCAUUGUUUCUGGAUGUACUUCUCAACUGCAAUAGCUGCCGCAGGCGUUGACGGCGGAGGUGUCACCAUCAAAACCAUUAGAAACAGCACCAUCAAGUCAAUGAUGCAAGUGGAAGUUUUGCCAUGUAAUAGUCGACCGCUGACGCCCUUCUCCAUCAAUUGUGUAAGUGUAAAGAGUACUACCAGUCUGCAGUUCUGCAAGAGACGCAAACAAAACAAGAAUACAAUCGCAUGAAGACUCCAAAAAAUUUCCAACCUUGACUGUAAG